AUGCCGCGUGUGUGAAGAAGGCCUUUUGGUUGUAAAGCACUUUAAGCGAGGAGGAGGCUACCGAGAUUAAUACUCUUGGAUAGUGGACGUUACUCGCAGAAUAAGCACCGGCUAACUCUGUGCCAGCAGCCGCGGUAAUACAGAGGGUGCGAGCGUUAAUCGGAUUUACUGGGCGUAAAGCGUGCGUAGGCGGCUUUUUAAGUCGGAUGUGAAAUCCCUGAGCUUAACUUAGGAAUUGCAUUCGAUACUGGGAAGCUAGAGUAUGGGAGAGGAUGGUAGAAUUCCAGGUGUAGCGGUGAAAUGCGUAGAGAUCUGGAGGAAUACCGAUGGCGAAGGCAGCCAUCUGGCCUAAUACUGACGCUGAGGUACGAAAGCAUGGGGAGCAAACAGGAUUAGAUACCCUGGUAGUCCAUGCCGUAAACGAUGUCUACUAGCCGUUGGGGCCUUUGAGGCUUUAGUGGCGCAGCUAACGCGAUAAGUAGACCGCCUGGGGAGUACGGUCGCAAGACUAAAACUCAAAUGAAUUGACGGGGGCCCGCACAAGCGGUGGAGCAUGUGGUUUAAUUCGAUGCAACGCGAAGAACCUUACCUGGUCUUGACAUAGUAAGAACUUUCCAGAGAUGGAUUGGUGCCUUCGGGAACUUACAUACAGGUGCUGCAUGGCUGUCGUCAGCUCGUGUCGUGAGAUGUUGGGUUAAGUCCCGCAACGAGCGCAACCCUUUUCCUUAUUUGCCAUCGGGUUAAGCCGGGACUUUAAGGAUACUGCCAGUGACAAACUGGAAGAAGGCGGAGACGACGUCAAGUCAUCAUGGCCCUUACGACAGGGCUACACACGUGCUACAUGGUCGGAACAAGGGGUGCUACCUAGCGAUAGGAUGCUAUCUCAAAAGCGAUCGUACUCCGGAUGGAGUCUGCACUCGACUCGAUGAAGUCAGAAUCGCUAGUAUCGCAGAACAAUGCGCGGAGAAUACUCCCGGCGUG
rnacentral:rRNA from 1 species